GAUGAAGAACGUAGCGAAAUGCGAUAAGUAAUGUGAAUUGCAGAAUUCAGUGAAUCAUCGAAUCUUUGAACGCACAUUGCGCCCGCCAGUAUUCUGGCGGGCAUGCCUGUCUGAGCGUCAUUUCAACCCUCAUGCCCCUAGGGCGUGGUGUUGGGGAUCGGCCAAAGCCCGCGAGGGACGGCCGGCCCCUAAAUCUAGUGGCGGACUCGUCGUGGCCUCCUCUGCGAAGUAGUGAUAUUCCGCAUCGGAGAGCGAUGAGCCCCUGCCGUUAAACCCCCAACUUUCCAAGGUUGACCUCAGAUCAGGUAGGAAUACCCGCUGAACUUAAGCAUAUCAAUAAGCGGAGGA
rnacentral:misc_RNA from 1 species